CAGGAACAGAGAAGGGCAGGCGAGUUGGCGUUUAGGCAGGCUGACUCAUAGGUCCCCUGAGGAGGCUUGUAGCCAAAGCUUGGAAAUGGCAGCACCGAAGCACACAUGGAGCACAUCUCAACGUCCACAUCCAGCCGAGGCUGGAUUUUGUCCACUCCUCUUCCAAAAGCUGAGUGUUGGGGCCAGUGGUUGGGAGAAGGGGAAAAACCUUUACUGUCACAGGAGGCAAUCUGAUGUCAGCUUAGUGGAGAGGUCUGUAGUGGGACAGGCUCUCUGGAAGUAAAGGGAGAGGGUUUCUCCUCGGCCUCACCAGAGCCUUUGCCAGGCAGGGCAUUUCCGACCCAUCUCCACGUUCAUGUGAACUUUGCGUCGUCAGCCUUCCUCGACUCGACACCGUCAUGGAUCUUUACCCCGAGGAGCUCGCCUUCAGGUCCCCGACGCUGCUGACUUCCCCAGGAUCUGCCAUUUAUGUCAAGGAGCGGCAGCCAGAAGAUGUGUCAAAGCACGUUCUUCAGUGUCUCAGGUUUUGCAACUCAUUGUUAAAUUUAGAAUAAAAAAUCCCAGCUGCCUUCCCCCCCGCCGCGGCUGUUUUUUUUUUCUUGGUCCUGGUCGGGUAAAAAACCAGAAAAAUACCCCAAGAUAGGCGAGAAAAGACCCAAAAAAACCCCAAGAUGGGCAAGAAGAACCCAGGAAAAAACCCCAAGAUGGGCAACAAAAAAACCCCACAAAAACCCAGGAAAAAAACCUCAAGAUGGGCAAGAAAAAAUCAAGAAAAAAAUCAGAACAAUCCCAGGAAAAAACCUCGAGGUGGGCAAGAGCAAACCCAGAAAAAAAACCUAAAAAAAACGAAGAUGGGCAAGAAAAAAAACAAGAAAAAAAUCCCAGAAAAACCCCCAAAAUGGGCAAAAAUAACCCAGAAAAAACCCUCAAGACGGGCAAGAAAAAUACCCAGAAAAAAACCCAAAGAGGGACAAGGAAAAAUCAACAAAAAAAGCGGAAAAUCACAGAAAAAAACCCCAAGAUGGGCAAGAACAAUCCCAGAAAGAAACCCCAAGAUGGGCAAGAACAAUCCCAGAAAAAAACCAGAAAAAACCAAGGAAAAAAAAACCCAGGAAAAAAACCCGAAAAAACCCCCAAGAUGGGCAAGAAAAAUCCAGAAAAAAACCCUGAAAAAAACCCCCAAGAGAGGCAAGACAAAAUCCCAGGAAAAAAAACCCCAAGAUGGGCAAGAAAAAAUCAACAAAAACCCCAAAAAACUCACAGAAAAAAACCCCCAGACAGUCAAGAAAAAAACCAGAAAACUCCCACAGAAAAUACUGAGAAAAAACCCAAGAUGGGGGCAAGAAUAAAUCCAGAAAAAACCCCCAAGACAGGCAAGAAAAAACCAGGGAAAAUCCCAAAAUGGGCAAGAACAACCUCCCACAAAAUCGGCCGUAAAGCGCGACUGUCGUAAAAGGUGCCGUAAAGCGCGACUGUCGUAAAAGCGGCCGUAAAGCGCGACUGUCGUAAAACUGCCGUAAAGCGCGACUGUCGUAAAAGCGGCCGUAAAGCGCGACUGUCGUAAAAACUGCCGUAAAGCGCGACUGUCGUAAAAGCGGCCGUAAAGCGCGACUGUCGUAAAAUCGGCCGUAAAGCGCGACUGUAGUAAAAGCGGCCGUAAGGCGCGACUGUCGUAAAAGGUGCCGUAAAGCGCGACUGUCGUAAAACAGCCGUAAAGCGCGACUGUCGUAAAAGCGGCCGUAAAGCGCGACUGUCGUAAAAUCGGCCGUAAAGCGCGACUGUCGUAAAAGGGGCCGUAAAGCGCG